UAUUAUUUAAAAUGUAAAUAUUAAUAUUUAAGUAGUAAUAGUUAUGUUCUUGAAACUUAAAAAAUUUGGCGGUAUUUUAGUCUAUCCAGAGGAACCUGUUUUGUAAUCGAUAAUCCACGAUGGACCUUACUUAAAUUUGUAAUCAGUUUAUAUACCGUCGUUAUCAGAAUAUUUUAUAAGAAUAAUAAUAUUCAAUAAUUUUAAAAAAAAUUUAUAUCAGAUCAAGGUGUAGCUUAUGUUUAAGUAAUAAUGGGUUACAAUAAAUUUAUUUAAACGGAUAAAAUUAUGAAAAAGUUUUUGAAGGUGGAUUUGGUUGUAAAAUUAUAUAGAUUAAUAAUUUGAUUUUAGCUCUAAAAUAUGUACACAUCGCCCGUCGCUCUUAUUAUUAAGGUAAGAUAAGUCGUAACAUAGUAGAUGUACUGGAAAGUGUAUCUAGAAUGA
rnacentral:rRNA from 1 species